rnacentral:rRNA from 1 species
GUUUGAUUCUGGCUCAGAUUGAACGCUGGCGGGAUGCUUACACAUGCAAGUCGGACGGCAGCACGGACUUCGGUCUGGUGGCGAGUGGCGAACAGGUGAGUAAUGUAUCAGGACGUGCCCUGGUAGCGGGGGAUAACUACGCGAAAGCGUAGCUAAUGCCACAUACGCCCUUCGGGGAAAGCAGGGGGACCUUCGGGCCUCGCACUAUUAGAGCAGCCGAUAUCGGAUUAGCUAGUUGGUGGGGUAACGGCUCACCAAGGCGACGAUCCGUAGCUGGUUUGAGAGGACGACCAGCCACACUGGGACUGAGACCUGGCCCAGACUCCUACGGGAGGCAGCAGUGGGAAUUUUUGGACAAUGGAAACCUGAUCCAGCCAUCCCCGCGUGUGCGAUGAAGGCCUUCGGGUUGUAAAGCACUUUUGGCAGAAGAAACGGCACGGGAUAAUACCCGUGCAACUGACGGUACACGGGAAUAAGCACCGGCUAACUACGUGCCAGCAGCCGCGGUAAUACACGUGAUUACCAAGCCUUAAUCGGAAUUACUGGGCGUAAAGCGUGCGCAGGCGGUUCGGAAAGAAAGAUGUGAAAUCCCAGAGCUUAACUUUGGAACUGCAUUUUUAACUACCGAGCUAGAGUGUGUCAGAGGAGGUGGAAUUCCGCGUGUAGCAGUGAAAUGCGCGUAGAUAAUGGGGAGGAACACCGAUGGCGAAGGCAACCUCCUGGGAUAACACUGACGCUCAUGCACAGCGAAACGUGGGAGCAAACAGGAUUAGAUACCUGGUAGUCCACGCCCUAAACGAUGUCAACUAGCUGUUGGGGCCUUCGGGCCUUGGUAGCGCAGCUAACGCGUGGUUGAAGCGCCUGGGAAAUUACGGUCGCAAGAUUAAAACUCAAAGGAAUUGACGGGGACCCGCACAAGCGGUGGAUGAUGUGGGUUAAUUCGAUGCAACGCGAAAAACCUUACCACCCUUGACAUGUCUGGAAUCCCGAAGAUUUGGGAGUGCUCGCAGGGGCGAACACAGGUGCUGCAUGGCUGUCGUCAGCUCGUGUCGUGAGAUGUUGGGUUAAGUCCCGCAACAGGCGCAGCCCUUGUCAUUAGUUGCUACGAAAGGGCACUCUAAUGAGACUGCCGGUGACAAACCGGAAGGUGGGGAUGACGUCAAGUCCUCAUGGCCCUUAUGGGUAGAAUACAUACAAUGGUCGGGACAAGAGGGUCGCCAACCCGCGAGAGAACCAAUCCCAGAAACCCGAUCGUAGUCCGGAUCGCAGUCUGCAGCUCGACUGCGUGAAGUCGGAAUCGCUGGUAAUCGCGGAUCAGCAUGUCGCGGUGAAUGCGUUCGGGUCUUGUACACACCGCCCGUCACACCAUAGGAAGGUGGGCUUUGCAGAAGUAGUUAGCUAACCGUAGGAGGCGAUUACCACGGUAGGAUUCAUGACUGGGGUGAAGUCGUAACAAGGUAA